GUGCCAGUCCGGCACGAAACCGCGCUGUCCCACACCUGAGCCCCCGCCUCCCCCUUGCCUUGUCCUGCCUUGACGUCUGGUGAUAUGCAGUGCCGUCUAUGACCGAAUAAAGUCGUUUGCAGCAGUGAAUCAAGAACAAGGACUAAGAGGAGACAAACCACAAGAACUUGCUUUCCUCCCAUAUUGGGACAGAGUUGAUGGACACAGCAGGGAUACGGAUGUUGCUGUCACCUCCACCUGCCUUCUUAUAUCCACAGCCCCGGAGCCCCAUUGUCUGGGGUGGGUACAUUAGAGGUGGAGCCCUGGAAAUCAUCCAACGCAUUCAGUCUGCAUCAUUACACAGGGGACGUUCCUUAUAGUCCAUGACUUUAGACCAUGUUCCUGAAGUCCAGUGCAGUCGUCUCAUUGUACGUGUCCGGAACAUUGAAGGCCUCGAACCUAAAGUCUGCAGCCACCUGUCAGUUGCAAGUAAUCCAAAGUCAUCUAAUCGCCAGUCAUCAAGUCAGUCAAGUCAAGUCUACUGUCUAGUCACCGUGGCCUGCACCAAAGUCUGUCUAACUACUGCAAGUCCCAGCAAGCCUGCUAGGUCCCCCUGUGUCACCUCCUCGGGCCCUGGCUGUUCUGAAUAGACUGUUUCCCCUGUUUACCCUCAG